AUUGAACGCUGGCGGUAUGCCUUACACAUGCAAGUCGAACGGUAGAGGGGCAACCCUUGAGAGUGGCGAACGGGUGAGUAAUACAUCGGAACGUGCCCAGUCGUGGGGGAUAACGUAGCGAAAGCUACGCCAAUACCGCAUACGACCUGAGGGUGAAAGCGGGGGAUCGCAAGACCUCGCGCGAUUGGAGCGGCCGAUGGCAGAUUAGGUAGUUGGGGGGGCAACGGCCGACCAAGCCUGCGAUCUGUAGCUGGUCUGAGAGGACGACCAGCCACAGCGGGAGUGAGACACGGCCCAGACUCCUACGGGAGGCAGCAGUGGGGAAUUUUGGACAAUGGGCGAAAGCCUGAUCCAGCCAUACCGCGUGCGGGAAGAAGGCCUUCGGGUUGUAAACCGCUUUUGUCAGGGAAGAAAUCUUCUGGGUUAAUACCUCGGGAGGAUGACGGUACCUGAAGAAUAAGCACCGGCUAACUACGUGCCAGCAGCCGCAGUAACAC
rnacentral:rRNA from 1 species